GUGGGGGAUAACAUUUGGAAACAGAUGCUAAUACCGCAUAAAACCUAGCACCGCAUGGUGCAAGGUUGAAAGAUGGUUUCGGCUAUCACUUUAGGAUGGACCCGCGGUGCAUUAGUUAGUUGGUGAGGUAAAGGCUCACCAAGACCGUGAUGCAUAGCCGACCUGAGAGGGUAAUCGGCCACACUGGGACUGAGACACGGCCCAGACUCCUACGGGAGGCAGCAGUAGGGAAUCUUCCACAAUGGACGAAAGUCUGAUGGAGCAACGCCGCGUGAGUGAAGAAGGUUUUCGGAUCGUAAAACUCUGUUGUUGGAGAAGAACGUAUUUGAUAGUAACUGAUCAGGUAGUGACGGUAUCCAACCAGAAAGCCACGGCUAACUACGUGCCAGCAGCCGCGGUAAUACGUAGGUGGCAAGCGUUGUCCGGAUUUAUUGGGCGUAAAGCGAGCGCAGGCGGUUUCUUAAGUCUGAUGUGAAAGCCUUCGGCUCAACCGAAGAAGUGCAUCGGAAACUGGGAAACUUGAGUGCAGAAGAGGACAGUGGAACUCCAUGUGUAGCGGUGAAAUGCGUAGAUAUAUGGAAGAACACCAGUGGCGAAGGCGGCUGUCUGGUCUGUAACUGACGCUGAGGCUCGAAAGCAUGGGUAGCAAACAGGAUUAGAUACCCUGGUAGUCCAUGCCGUAAACGAUGAGUGCUAGGUGUUGGAGGGUUUCCGCCCUUCAGUGCCGCAGCUAACGCAUUAAGCACUCCGCCUGGGGAGUACGACCGCAAGGUUGAAACUCAAAGGAAUUGACGGGGGCCCGCACAAGCGGUGGAGCAUGUGGUUUAAUUCGAAGCAACGCGAAGAACCUUACCAGGUCUUGACAUCCUUUGACCACUCUAGAGAUAGAGCUUUCCCUUCGGGGACAAAGUGACAGGUGGUGCAUGGUUGUCGUCAGCUCGUGUCGUGAGAUGUUGGGUUAAGUCCCGCAACGAGCGCAACCCUUAUUACUAGUUGCCAGCAUUUAGUUGGGCACUCUAGUGAGACUGCCGGUGACAAACCGGAGGAAGGUGGGGACGACGUCAAAUCAUCAUGCCCCUUAUGACCUGGGCUACACACGUGCUACAAUGGAUGGUACAACGAGUCGCGAGACCGCGAGGUUUAGCUAAUCUCUUAAAACCAUUCUCAGUUCGGAUUGUAGGCUGCAACUCGCCUACAUGAAGCCGGAAUCGCUAGUAAUCGCGGAUCAGCAUGCCGCGGUGAAUACGUUCCCGGGCCUUGUACACACCGCCCGUCACACCAUGAGAG
rnacentral:rRNA from 2 species